rnacentral:rRNA from 1 species
UACGGAGGGUGCAAGCGUUAUCCGGAUUCACUGGGUUUAAAGGGUGCGUAGGUGGGGAUGUAAGUCAGUGGUGAAAUCUCCGUGCUUAACACGGAAACUGCCAUUGAUACUAUGUUUCUUGAAUUUUCCGGAGGUCAGCGGAAUAUGUCAUGUAGCGGUGAAAUGCUUAGAUAUGACAUAGAACACCAAUUGCGAAGGCAGCUGACUACAGGGACAUUGACACUGAGGCACGAAAGCGUGGGGAUCAAACAGG